rnacentral:rRNA from 1 species
GAUGAACGCUAGCGGCAGGCUUAACACAUGCAAGUCGAGGGGUAUAGUUCUUCGGAACUAGAGACCGGCGCACGGGUGCGUAACGCGUAUGCAAUCUACCUUUUGCAGAGGGAUAGCCCAGAGAAAUUUGGAUUAAUACCUCAUGGUAUGUGAGAAUGGCAUCAUUUUCACAUUAAAGUCACAACGGCAAAAGAUGAGCAUGCGUCCCAUUAGCUUGUUGGUAAGGUAACGGCUUACCAAGGCAACGAUGGGUAGGGGUCCUGAGAGGGGGAUCCCCCACACUGGUACUGAGACACGGACCAGACUCCUACGGGAGGCAGCAGUGAGGAAUAUUGGACAAUGGGCGCAAGCCUGAUCCAGCCAUGCCGCGUGCAGGAUGACGGUCCUAUGGAUUGUAAACUGCUUUUGUACAGGAAGAAACACUGGUUCGUGAACCAGCUUGACGGUACUGUAAGAAUAAGGAUCGGCUAACUCCGUGCCAGCCGCCGCAGUAAGAC